AUUGAACGCUGGCGGCAUGCUUUACACAUGCAAGUCGAACGGCAGCGCGGGCUUCGGCCUGGCGGCGAGUGGCGAACGGGUGAGUAAUGCAUCGGAACGUGCCCAGUCGUUGGGGAUAGCCCGGCGAAAGCCGGAUUAAUACCGCAUACGACCUGAGGGUGAAAGCGGGGGACCGAAAGGCCUCGCGCUAUUGGAGCUGCCGAUGUCGGAUUAGCUAGUUGGUGGGGUAAAGGCUUACCAAGGCGACGAUCCGUAGCUGGUCUGAGAGGACGACCAGCCACACUGGGACUGAGACACGGCCCAGACUCCUACGGGAGGCAGCAGUGGGGAAUUUUGGACAAUGGGGGCAACCCUGAUCCAGCCAUGCCGCGUGCGGGAAGAAGGCCUUCGGGUUGUAAACCGCUUUUGUUCGGGAAGAAAUCCUCUGGGCUAAUACCCCGGGGGGAUGACGGUACCGGAAGAAUAAGCACCGGCUAACUACGUG
rnacentral:rRNA from 1 species